CGAUUCAUAAUCUUGACGAACUUACGUAAUCCUUAAGCUGGAGACUGACUUGUACCAUUUGUUUGUAAUGUACCAUUCGAGGCGAUCUUGUUACAAUACGGCGACUCACAAUGACUUGUAACAUGUGUUUUUAAUGUAUCAUACGUGCUCUUGGCUCAAGUGUGCUCUAUUUUUACUCGAAAUAACGUGAUGACGCGACCUGCACUGACUUGUAAUGUAUCACUCAAAGGGAAUUCGCG